UACGAAGGGUGCAAACGUUGCUCGGAAUUAUUGGGCGUAAAGCGCACGUAGGCGGCUUGGCAAGUCGGAUGUGAAAUCCCUCGGCUCAACCAAGGAAGUGCAUCCGAAACUGCCGAGCUUGAGUACUUAAGAGGAUCGCGGAAUUCCCGGUGUAGAGGUGAAAUUCGUAGAUAUCGGGAGGAACACCAGUGGCGAAGGCGGUGAUCUGGGAAGAUACUGACGCUGAGGUGCGAAAGCGUGGGGAGCAAACAGG
rnacentral:rRNA from 1 species